AUCAGAACAUGCUGGACAGUACAGUUUGGUUGUGAAAGGAGUCACAAGGUUUCUUGUCAACUUGGUGACAACUUAUACACAGCCGGGUUGUAAAUGGCAGUACACCGCUGGUCGUUUUUGGCAGCUGUGCUGUUCCUGGCUUCCUUGGAUCGGUGGUGCUCCUCUUCCUCACCUCCAUGUCCUAAGUCCUGCACCUGUCAGAGAGCUCCACUGCUGAACUGCUCUUCAUCUGGCCUGUCCUCAGUCCCGCAGCUCAUCCUGGACUCGAUCACUGAGCUAGACUUGUCUCAUAACUUUCUCAGCUCUGUAACUUUUCAUCAACCACAUCCCAACCUCACGAACCUAUGGCUGGGAAACAACAGCAUCCCACACUUGUCUCUCUGUAUAGAGAGAACCGUUAAGGGUCGACAUCUAAGGCUUCGCUCAGAAACUGGGAUUGGAUCGAGAUGCCUGGUCUGGGCCCCCACCCUGCAGCUGCUAUCAGCUGAGAGGAAUCAGCUAGAGCAGCUGCCAGAGGGUGAGUCAGUGUAAUAUAGUCAUAUAUCCAUCCAAAUUAAACACGAUCAAGCUGCCUAAAUGACCAAAGUCCUGAAAAAAGUUGUUUAGCCUUAGUUGCUCCUGUAGCUGGAUAUAUAAUACAUGUUGUUUUAUAUGUUGUUUUAUUUUGUGCAUCAAGUUACCAACGUUUGAACAUAUAACCAUAUUUAAUCUUAUAAAUUAAACCUAUGGUGAAUUCCUUUAAAUAUGCACUUUUUAUUCAGUCACUCUGAAAACAAUUGCAUCAAUAUUUACAAGUUAUGUGUUUAUAUAUUAAAUAUAUUAUAUGUGUUUAAAGUGAAAUACCCAACUAUAACCCUUAGACAGAAUUAAAUAUACAGUGUCAGUGUCAUAUUUGUUGGCACCCCUGACAAAGAUGACUAAAAGGCCUUGAAAGAAAUUCAUCUUUUAUUGCAGUUGCAUUUCAGAAAAAUCUAACCUUUAAUAUUAAGUGUGGAAAUAAAAUUCCCUAAUAAGAAAUACUUGUUUAGAACAAAACCACCAGUGGCAGUUAUUGGUUUACACAACAACCCGUUAAAAGUAAAAGUAGCUAAAGCAUUUUCUAAAUAUAUAUGUUGUGUUUUAAAGAUGAUCAGGGUUUCUAGGAACAUUCAAUUAGUAAUCCCUGACUUUAAGCUCACUGUCAUAGAACGACAGCAAAGAGUCACAGAAUCGACCAAGAGAGGACCCAGACUGAGCAAAGAAGAAUGGUCAAAGAUCCCUCUCUCUGUAUGUUUCUAUUUUGUGAAAUCCUAUAGGAGACUAAGUGCUCUCCUACUUGCCGCCUGCUUAAUUAAAAACUGAAUUUUUAAUUUUUUCUGCUAUUGCAAUAGGAAUUAAUUUUAAGACUUUUUUAUACAUCUUUAUCAGAAGUUCCAAUAAAUGUGUCCAACACUUUAUAGGAAGCACUUGAGUGCAGAAUCCUGGGUAAGAAGGAUGAUGGCCAUAACAAUGCAAAAUAUAUAUAUAUAUCUUUUAAAACAAUCAAACAUGCUUUCCUGCAGAAAUCUGAAACUCAGUGGCUGACUUAUCAAUGAACAAUCAGUGUACAGUUCAAGCUGAAUGAAAACUUAAGUGUAAAACCACUAUGUGAGUUAAUAUAGACCCUUUUCAGGGCUGUUGCCAACAGGAUUGUGAAAUAUUAGUUGAUGAUUGGCAUAUGAAUGACUAUGAAUAAUGAUUAAACAGGCAUUUUAUAUUUAUUUUCAUGCCAUAGAACAUACCGUUUAUCAACUAAAUAAUUUACACAACCCUCAUUAAGAAAUAACAUUGAAGUUUAACAUCUUUAUGAGAAACAAGUCAAAGGAGAUUUUUUUCCCUAAAGUCUUUCAAUUGGAAAUUCAAAAAGUAAAAAUAAAUACUUUAUAUAAGUU